rnacentral:rRNA from 1 species
GCGGCCUAUCAGCUUGUUGGCGGGGUAAUGGCCCACCAAGGCGACGACGGGUAGCUGGUCUGAGAGGAUGGCCAGCCACAUUGGGACUGAGAGACGGCCCAGACUCCUACGGGAGGCAGCAGUGGGGAAUCUUGCGCAAUGGUCUAACGGCUGACGCAGCGACGCCGCGUGUGGGAGGACGCCUUUCGGGGUGUAAACCACUGUUGCCCGGGACGGACAGCCCUUUUCGAGGGGUCUGACGGUACCGGGUGAGGAAGCACCGGCUAACUCCGUGCCAGCAGCCGCGGUAAUACGGAGGGUGCGAGCGUUGUCCGGAAUCAUUGGGCGUAAAGGGCGCGUAGGUGGCACGAUCAGCGUGCGGUGAAAGCUCGGGGCUCAACCCCGAGUCGGCCAUGCGAACUAUCGAGCUGGAGCACUGUAGAGGCAGGCGGAAUUCCGGGUGUAGCGGUGGAAUGCGUAGAGAUCCGGAAGAACACCGGUGGCGAAGGCGGCCUGCUGGGCAGUUGCUGACACUGAGGCGCGACAGCGUGGGGAGCAAACAGGAUUAGAUACCCUGGUAGUCCACGCCGUAAACGAUGGGCACUAGGCGCUUGGGGGAGCGACCCCCCGAGGGCCGGCGCUAACGCAUUAAGUGCCCCGCCUGGGGAGUACG